AGAACCAAUCCCAUGGCCGCGUCCUUAUGGCCAUUAUUACCCAAAAUACCCCAAAUGAAAACCAAUAAUACCAAAUUGAGACGGAAAUUAAAUUAAAAACCAGCAAAAUAGAAAAUAAAACAAAUUUGAAAUUCACCUUGGAAAGAGUAGGGUUGUUGAAGAAGGGGACGAUGCUAGAAUCGUUGGAUUCAGAUCGGCGAUCAAAAUCGUUUUCAUUCUCUGAAUCGCAGGAAUAAUUCUGUUAACGAAAAUGAAGAUAAAGGAGAGAAAUUAGAGGCAAAAGAAAAGAAGGAAGGGAAGCAACAUACUCUUGGAAGAAGUUUGGAAUCGGAGGAUUCUGAUUGGAGAAUCUUUUCUCUUUGGGGAGAAGAAGUAGAGAGGAGAAGACGAAGAAGAAACGAAGGCAGAAGAGGAGCUCAGAGUUUCCAGGGCGAUUUCUAGCGACGAAGAGAGACGCUAUGCUGCCUAUCUCU
rnacentral:misc_RNA from 1 species